UAAUUGAUGUGAGUUCAAUCGAGGUAAGAGCCAAGUCGCCUCGUAGCUGACAGGCAACUGGUGGAGAGAUCCUAAGGUUGAAGACCUGUGACAAAGUACCCCUGAGAACCCAUGAUGCUAAGUUCGACGCAUUCGAUCUCUUCGAGGAUGGCGAGUUUCUCUUUCGCACUAUAU
rnacentral:ncRNA from 1 species